UGAGCGUGACGCGUGUGGUUGCGGAAUAUUUUGCAAAGAUAUUUUAGGUGUAUUGCCCUCGCUUUA
rnacentral:tRNA from 1 species